rnacentral:lncRNA from 1 species
CUCUCUUCUCUGCAAAAAUCUUAUCCUCUGCCACCGUGACUCCAACAGCGGCGGCGACAGCAAAGGUAGCAACCAUCUUGCCCAAAAGCUCUCUUCCACUCCUACCAGCAGCAGCCGGAGUAGCAGCUCCUUCCUCAGUCACACCAACAGCUCCAGUCGUGAGCUUUCCUUCUCCUCUGCAGGAAUCUGCUCCUUCUUCUUCCAGCCGGGACCAGUGCACACCGCCGUCCUCGUCGCCUCCAGUCGCACCGCGCACCACCAGCCAGGCCACCGACUCUCUCCACGCCAGGUAAUUCUCUCCUCCCCGCUCCACCCUUUUCUUCUUCGUGUUCUUCGUAGCCGCUGCAUGCAGAAUUCAUUUCUGCAUGCAGUGGAUAAUUAAUUAGCCACCUGCUUGGGCCGGGCCCGGCCCGGCCCUAAAAAAAAAAUAAAAAAAAUUUUAAAAUCAUUUCAAAAAAAUUUGUGAUUUUCUUAAAUAUUUUUCCUACCAAGUUUGCUUAAUAUUGGGUUGUAUACUUACAUUGUAAGAUACAAGUCCGGUAUUAAAAUACCCGGUUUUCUCUGAAAUAUUCAAAAAAAAAGAAAACAUAAAUAAAUUUAUUGCAUACGGCCAAGUCCUAAAGAAUUUUCCAAGCAUGUUUUUUUUUUCAAAAUCAAAAAAAUUGCAUCUUUCUCACGUUUUAAAAAUCCAAAAAAUGGAUAUCAUAACUAGUUUAUGAUCAUCUGUUAGGGUUUGGCCAAAAUGUCAAAAACUUUUAUUUUAACUUUUUUCUUUUUUCUAGGAUCCAGAUGUAAAAUUUAAUAUUUGUGGGGUGUAAAAUUACACGAUAAAGUACACCCUCGGGUAUUAAACAUACAAGGUGUAAAUAAAUGCAAUCCUAAAAUUCAGACUUUAGAACGGUUAGGAUUUAACCCAAUAAGGUAGAGACUCCCUCACGAAGGGAGAUCUGCCUUGAACCUUAGAAAAGACUAACGAAUAGAAACUCGACCUAGAAAAACAAUCAAACAACAAUGCAGCUUACCUUAGGUAGAGUGCACUAGGGGUGAUGCGUCUUCCCCUUGCACAACCAGUCCCUUACUCAGACUCUCGCAGACCAUAGGUUCCUAGUGACCAUAAUACUAGGUGGCGACUCCAACGAACCAAGCAAAACACAAUAAUAAAAAAAAUCGUCAGCCGAUGCCGCGCGGAUUCCGACGUGCGACACCGACUUUGGAGGAAUAUGAAAGGAUUCUAGAUUUUCCAAACAACAGCCACAGGAUCUACCUAAGGCGAAGAUUUGAAGACACAGCUUCGGAGGUAGUCAGUUUAUUAGGCCUGGGAAAGAUCAGCCAAUGUAGAGUCGCCGAAGGGGGUUUCAAAUGGAAGGUCAUUGAAGCCCGAAUGAAGAAAAAUGUUGAAGAAGGCAAGUUGGGAGAGGAACGAUACAGGUUGGUGGCCUUCGCCAUUUUUGGACUAGUAUUGUUCCCUUCCGAAAUCAGAGUCAUCAGUUUGGAAGCAGCAAGUGUCUUCAUAGAAUACGAGCAUGACCGGAUCAAUCCCUCGUCAGCCAUUUUGGGAGAAACCAUGUUAUCACUCAACCACUGCAGAAUGCAUGGAAAAGGAGCCAUGAGAUGUUGCAUCCCUAUGUUGUAUUUAUGGAUUAUCAGUCAUAUUGAAACACCAAGGGACAUCUUUAACAACUUUUGGUGGUUUGACCUGCGACCGUGAAAGGUUACCAUGGAUGAGACUUGGAAGAAUUGGGAUGAGAAAGCAUGGAUAGAUAAAUAUGCAGCAUUGCCAAGGAGCAACUUCAAAUGGAAAGCACCAUGGAUGAACAACGCCAUCUGCACAAUGAGCUGUGGAAGCAAGAUAUGGGUUCCUUUGAUUGGUGUAACCGGGUACAUCAGUUACGCCCCCGCCCUCGUAACAAGGCAGUUGGGUGGAAUGCAGUAUGCACCAAGAACUCUAGGUUUAGCUGAUUUCAUCGGUUUAUUCAAGCACCAACCGUUCCUCGAAGAGAUGGAGCUUAUCCGACAAGAUUGGGAAAGACCCCUAAUGGUAAAAAGGGAAGAAGGGAGCAAUUUUGAAACAUCAUUCAGCCAGAAUUAUGCAGUUUGGAGGAAUGAAGCGCUUUCUGAAGUGAGGGAUUUCUCAACACAAGAACAUCCAGAAUCAGCGAUGGAGCAGCCAAAAAGGAAAAGAACUGAUAAUGAGGAAGAGUUAAGAAAGCAGCUAGAACGAUGUAUAAUUGAUCUCAGCAAAAGUAAAGGGCAGCAACAGAUAUUAGAAAGUCAAUUAGAGGAAGAAAAUACGAUGAGGGUUUACUUGAACCAGCGGUUGGAAAAACAGGAUAAGCAGUUAACGUCUUUAAAGGAAUGGCAGAAAAGGGUCGAGGUAGCUGAAGAAAUAGCAAAAGGGGUCCAGGCUGAGUUAAAGAAUCGAAUGACCGAAUAUGAUGAGCUGGUUAAAGAAGAAUGGGCUCACAGAAAAAGAGUUGGCAAAGGUUAAGAGAUCAACAAAAGGCAAGAUGAAUGUUGACAAAGAGGUGAUGGAUUCCUUGAAGAAGGGAAAGAGCAUUCUUUUAAGGAAAGUAGAAGUUGAAAAGGAGAAGAAUCGGCUAGCCCAGCUCGACAUAGAAGAGGAAAGAAGGAUCAAAGCUCAAUAUAUGGUGCAAUUUGAGGAAGAGAGAAGUGCAAGAAAGGCCGCUGAGUCUGAUAUGAGAGAUUACCAGAAGAGAGCUGAGUCUUCGAAAGGAAGGAUGAUGGUUCUACAAUCUGAGAUUGAGAUACGAGAAGAAGAGUUGAGGGAGUUGAGAAGCCAUUACUUCGAGAUGGAAGAGGAGCUGAGUAAGGCUAAGCAAGAACGUCAAGAAUGUCAAGACUACAUGGACAACUUUGCAGUUCAAAUUAACUCCAAAAUAGCCGAGCUGGAUAUAGAAAAGGAAGAACUGCAGAGGGUAAGGGAUAAGUUAGCACGGUCAGAGGAUAUGGUUCGAGUUUUGGAAAGAAGUAAUGAAUCCUUAGGGGCCAGCAACGAAGUGAUAAUUGCAGAUAACACCGUGUUCCAUGAUAAGAUAAGGCAUAUGACAAAGCAGGUCGAGCAAGCAGCCCGCUAUGUGGAAAGGUUGCAACAACAAGCCACCCAAGUUGGAAAUAACGCUGCAAAGUAUCGAGAAUACAUGGGGGCCAUCACCUCUUUUAUUGGGGACUUAGCUAAUAGAGGAANNNNNNNNNNNNNNNNNNNNNNNNNNNNNNNNNNNNNNNNNNNNNNNNNNNNNNNNNNNNNNNNNNNNNNNNNNNNNNNNNNNNNNNNNNNNNNNNNNNNUAUGAGCGACUUCUAUUUUUAAGAAGGCCAUGACCUAUCUUUCUUUCUAAUGUGUUUUGGUAAGCUACUACGAUAAGAACUUGGCAAACCCUCCUUUACAGUAAUCAGGUUGACUCGGAAAUCUUGCCUAAAGGAUUACAAAAGUCAUGAAUCAGCUCUAAAAAAAAAAAAUUCACAUCAUGUGCACCAUAUUUUCAUCACGCAUUUUGUUUUUAAUUUAUCAUACGCAUUCCAGAUCGUGAAACAUAGGUCCCACAUCCAAAGUCCAUCACACCCGGUCCAGAUUGAGGAUGGAGAACGAAGAAAGAGCUCACUUAGAGUCAUAUUAUCAGACCGAGUUGGAAUCUGUAAAAAAUGAAGUUUCUCGGCUAACCGACCUACUCGAGCAACUUCUAAGAGCUAAGAAUGGGAAGGGAACAUCAGCACAACAACCUGAAGGAGUGCCAGCAGCUCACAUCCCUCCAGCAUCUCAAAACCAGGGGGCAAACUCAGCCAAUGAACAACAUUUUGUGCCUAUCACCCCUAUCCAGCCAAAUCAUGGUCCAAUCACUGUGGACUUAACAGCGGAGGGAAUCCCGGAUAAUAGAUCUCCCAGUUUGAUGGACCAAGACAACUUGUUUGCUUUGGAAGAAAGAUUAAGGGCAGUUGAGGGUAAUGACUGGUUUGACCCUAUGCGAGCAACUGAAGUAUGUUUGGUACCAAACAUCGUGGUGCCAAAAGAUUUUAGGAUACCAGAGUUCAUUAAGUACACUGGUUUGGAAUGCCCAAACACUCACCUUCGAUCCUACUGCAAUAAAAUGGCUGAAGUAAUCCGCGAUGAUAAAUUGCUAAUCUACUUCUUUCAAGAUAGCCUCGCAGGAUCUGCUUUGAGCUGGUACAUGAGGUUAGAUAGUGUCAGGAUCAGGAGCUGGAGAGACUUGGUGGAGGCCUUCCUUAAGCAGUACAAGUUUAACCUGGAAAUCGCUCCUGAUCGAACAAGUCUAAUGUCAAUGGAGAAAAGGACCCAAGAGUCGGUAAGGGCCUAUGCGCAAAGGUGGAGGGAUGAGGCAAUGCAUGUCCAACCCCCUUUGAUAGAAACAGAGAUGGUGACCUUGUUUGCAAAUACCUUCAAGGCACCUUAUUAUAAGCAUUUAAUGGGUAUCUCCUCUCAGCAUUUCUACAAUGCGGUGCGCAUAGCUGAAAGGAUAGAGCAAGGGAUUAAAGCUGGGCGUAUAGCUGAGCCGUUGGAGAAGAAAGGUUUUAUUGGAAGAAAGAGGGAAGGUGAUAUUAACAGCUUGGAAGGUGGAUACAAAGGCAAGAGAGUAGAUUCUUAUAAUCCACAAGUACCUACAUCUCAAUUCUCUCACAUGAACAUUAGCCAACCUUUUCCCCCCAAUCGAACAAAUAACCAGUCGAACAACCAAAACCACCACCAAAGACCAAAUACAAGAUACCCUUCAGAACAACUGCCGCCGUUACCCAUGCCUUUGAAGGAUAUGUAUGCCAAACUGUUGAGUAUUGGACACAUAGCUCCUAUUCCUGCACUACCAUUGCAACCACCAUUCUCAAUUUGGUACAAGCCUGAGUUGACUUGCGAGUACCAUGCUGGUAAUCCCGGGCAUGGGAUUGAAACCUGCUACGCUUUCAAAAAGAGGUUAUUGGAGCUUAUUAAGAUAGGAUGGGUAUCCUUUGAAGACAAGCCCAAUGUUAAUUCAAACCCAUUGCCUAAGCACGCCCCAAGUAGUAGUGGAGUAGGCAUGAUAGAAGUUGGAAAUCAAUGCAAGGCGUUGAAGGUGUCCAUGAAAAAGUUGUACGACAUGUUGGUACAAUCAGGAUUUCUAAAGACAAAUGUGGAGAGCCAUUUGGAGGGAUGUGAUUACUGUGAAUUCCAUGGAAGAGAUGGACAUCAUAUCGAGGAUUGCAUCGAGUUUUGCAAAAAGAUUGCAAAAAUGCUGAAAAUGGGCGAGUUGAGGAUUGAACCCAUGGAGAGCAGGGGUGAGGUGAGUAUGAUGGAAGGUCAAGAUGAGAUGACAGGAGUGUGUAGGGUCCAACAAACAGCUAACGGGCCACCAAGGCUAAUCUUGGUUAAACCUUCCUGUGCAAAAGGAAAUCACAAUGCCAUACCUUAUAAUUAUGGUUGGGCCUCCAACAUUCGAGCUCCUCUUCCUUUGUUCCAAACUGAGAUAAGUGGUUUGACCCGGAGUGGUUGGUGCUUUACGCCCGAGGAGUUGAGGAAGGCAAAGGGCAAAGAAGUGGUAGAUCUUAACAAAGCACUAGAAGUUAAUAAGCCGGUAACGGAAGAGGAGUCGAGUGAAUUUUUGAAGUUGAUCAAGCAUAGUGAAUAUUGCAUAGUAGAUCAAUUAAAAAAGACUCCAGCUAGGAUCUUCCUUAUGUCCUUGAUACUCAGCUCUGAGCCGCAUCGAAACGCCUUGCAAAAGGUAUUGAAUGAGGCGUAUGUACCCCAAGACAUUGAACAUAAAACCAUGGAGCAUCUCGUGGGGAGGAUCCACGCAACUAAUUACCUGUACUUCACGGCUGAUGAGCUUGAUGAUGAAAGUACCGAACAUAACAAGCCCUUAUACAUUACGGUUAGGUGCAAGGAUUGCAUCAUAGGAAAAGUGCUCAUCGAUAAUGGCUCGGCUCUUAACGUGUUGCCAAAGCACAUUCUGAAAGAAAUGCCGAUCGAUGAAUCUCAUAUGAAGCCGAGUACGAUGAUGGCUAGAGCAUAUGAUGGCUCACCUAGGCCAAUAAUUGGGACUAUAGAAGUGGAGCUAUAUGUGGGACCACAAAUGUUCCUAGUGACACUUCAAGUUAUGGAUAUCCACCCUUCCUAUAGUAUGUUGUUAGGAAGACCUUGGAUUCAUGCAGCGGGGGCUGUAGCUUCAUCAUUGCACUAAUGCCUGAAGUAUGUCAUGAAUGGGAUGUUGGUAACUGUCAAAGCUGAGGAGACAGUAUCCAUGAUAAAGAAUGUGGUUGUACCUUUUAUCGAGGCAGAUGAUUGCAAAGAUAACAAUAUCCAUGCUUUUGAGAUUGUGAACACUGACUGGGUGCCGGAGAACACAGUACUGAGAAGGCCAAGGAUCUCAGAAGCAGCAAGGAUGGCAACUUAAUGCUUCUUGGAACGCGGAAUCCCAUUUCAGUAUAACCCUAUCACUGGGGUACCAGAAGGGGUUGAUCCGGCAAAGAUGACAUGUGCUGAUCAAAGAUUUGGGCUAGGGUAUAAACCUAACAAGGAUGAUCAUCGAUGGGUUGCUGGUCGGAGAAGGGAAAGAAGAAUAGCUAGAAUUGAAGGAAGGGAGCCUGAAGAAGAAAAGCUAGAAAUCCCUCCCCUUAGCAUGUCAUUCCCAAAAGCUACAUACGUAAUGCAACAUGAUAAAGGAGCCGAAAGCCUUGGUCAAGCAUUGACAAAUAUGAGCAUAAACACCUUGGAGGAAAAUGAGGUGGAAGGAGAUGUCAUGAAGACAGUAGCGAGAAAGGGAGAUGAAGCACUGCCACAACUGAUGGUCCACACACUAGAAGAAGUCUCCGCCAAGACCUUUGUGCGCAAGUUGGCUCAGGGCGAGAAGUUUCAGAACUGGGUGACCCAAGAAGCUCCAGUAGUUUUCAAAAUGUAAACCCACUUUGUUUGCCUUAUCAUGCUUUUGUCAUUGCUUUUGUUUGCUUUUAUUUUCUCUAGUUGACAUUCAAGGCUCAUAAUGUCAGCUAGAUUUUGUGUUUGUCAUCGAGCCCACCUUUUCUUUAAAUAAAUGAUGAGAUCAUGCACUUUUCAAAAUUGUCUUUUUUAUGCAUUUACACCAAACACUUCCCGCUUUCAGGAAUCCUGAAAGCGGAUCUCCUGCAACAUCACAUACAUUUAGCAUCAAGAAUAAAUGGCCAAACUUGAACGAACAUGUGAUAACUAUGGAAGAAGAAGAGUGGGAUGAAAGCAAUAUCAGUGAAUUUACCAGACUAGUGGAACAACGGGAACAGACUUGGAAGCCUGCCGCAAAGGAACUCGAAACCGUCAAUGUAGGCAGUGAUCAGCUCAAGAAAGAGUUGAAAAUAGGUACCUUAAUUACUUCUGAACAAAGGACAAAAAUGAUCGCCCUAUUACAAGAAUAUUCAGAUGUCUUUGCUUGGUCCUAUGAAGAUAUGCCCGGUUUGGAUACAAAUAUUAUAGUACACAAGAUACCAUUGGAAGAAGGCUGUAAACCAGUCAAGCAGAAGCUGAGGAGGGCCCACCCGGAUAUCUGGAUCAAGGUUAAGGCAGAACUCGAGAAGCAAUGGGAUGCUGGCUUUCUAGAAGUAGUUAGAUAUCCACAGUGGGUAUCUAACAUUGUGGUGGUGCCUAAGAAGGAGGGGAAGAUUAGAGUUUGCGUGGAUUUUCGGAAUUUGAAUAGAGCUAGCCCUAAGGAUGAUUUUCCUCUACCACACAUAGAUGUUUUAGUGGACAACGCUGCCCAAAGUUCCACAUAUUCCUUUAUGGAUGGUUUUUCAGGAUACAACCAGAUAAAAAUGGCUCCAGAGGAUAAGGCAAAAACGACUUUUGUCACACCUUGGGGGACAUACUGCUACAAGGUCAUGCCAUUCGGUUUGAAGAAUGCAGGAGCAACCUAUCAAAGAGCAAUGGUGACUCUGUUCCACGACAUGAUACACAAGGAAAUUGAGGUGUAUGUAGAUGACAUGAUUGCCAAGUCUAAAAAGGGAGAGGAUCAUGUUGAAGUUUUGAGGAAGUUAUUUGAGAGGUUGAGGAAGUAUGAAUUAAGGCUCAAUCCUGCAAAAUGUUCAUUCGGAGUUAAAUCAGGUAAGCUGUUAGGAUUUGUGGUAAGUGAUAGAGGUAUAGAGGUGGAUCCAGAUAAAAUAAGGGCCAUUCAAGCUAUGUCAUCCCCUAAGACGGAGAAAGAAGUAAGAGGAUUCUUGGGAAGGUUAAACUACAUUGCUCGAUUUAUAGCUCAGCUAACAACAACAUGUGAACCUAUAUUCCGACUAUUAAGGAAAAAGAAUCCUGGAACCUGGAAUGAGGAGUGUGAGGAUGCAUUCAAUAAAAUCAAACAUUAUUUACAAAAUCCACCUUUACUGGUUCCUCCGGUAUCAGGAAAACCUCUGGUAUUAUAUUUAACAGUAACCGAAGCAGCCAUGGGAUGUGUAUUAGGUCAGCAUGAUAAAACCGGAAGGAAGGAAAGAGCUAUUUAUUACUUAAGUAAGAAACUUACCGAAUCUGAGUCUAGAUACACUGAGAUAGAAAGGCUCUGUUGUGCGCUGGUUUGGGCGGCAAAGAGAUUACGAUAUUAUAUGUUAUAAUAUACCACUUGGUUGAUUUCAAAAGUGGAUCCUCUGAGGUAUAUUUGUAACAAGCCCUUUCUCUCAAGUCGAAUUGCAAGGUGGCAGGUUUUAUUAGCAGAAUAUGACAUAGUGUAUAUGACAAGGAAAGCCGUAAAAGGGAGUGCAAUUGCGGACCAUCUGGCUGAUAAUGUUGUUGAAGAUUACGAACCUUUGGAUUUUGAUUACCCCGAUGAAGAUAUAUUGUCAAUAGAAAAAGAAGAAGAGAAGACAGAUUGGUGGACCAUGUUUUUUGAUGGGGCCGUGAAUGUAUAUGGUAACGGGGCCGGUGCGGUAAUAAUCUCUCCUAAUAAGAAACAGUAUCCAGUUUUGAUUAAGCUGCAUUUCAAGUGCACCAACAAUACAGCUGAGUAUGAAGCUUGUAUCCUUGGUUUAGAAGCGGCAUUAGAGCUAAAGAUAAAGAAGAAAGAUGUGUAUGGGGAUUCAAUGUUGAUUAUCUGUCAGGUUAAAGGGGAAUGGCAGACCAAGGAAGAAAAGUUAAGGCCGUACCAAGAAUACCUAUCCACACUAGCAAAGGAAUUUGAAGAGAUUAAAUUCACCCAUCUAGGAAGGGAGGGGAACCAUUUUGCGGAUGCUUUGGCCACGCUAGCUGCUAUGACUACCAUUGAUCUUGAAUAUAAGGUACAACCUGUGCACAUUGACAUUAGAAAUGACCCAGCUCACUGUUGCUUAGUUGAAGGAGAGAUAGACGGAAAGCCUUGGCAUUACGAUAUCAAGAAUCUUGUGCAGAAUCAUGAAUAUCCGGUGGGAGCUUCUAAAACGGAUAGGAAAACCUUGAGAAGGUUGGCCAUAGACUUCUAUUUAGAUGGAGAGAUUUUAUACAAAAGAUCAUUUGACGGAACCCUGCUAAGGUGUUUGAAUGAAACAGAUGCUAGAAAGGCAUUGCGAGAGGUCCACGAAGGGAUUUGCUCAACUCAUGCUAGCGGGCAUAUGAUAGCAAGGAAAAUACAAAGGGCUGGUUAUUUUUGGAUGACGUUGGAGAAAGACUGCAUUGACUAUGUCAGGAAAUGUCACAAGUGUCAAGUUUACAGUGAUAAGGUCAAUACACCGCCAGCUCCGCUAUUUAAUCUAAUAUCUCCUUGGCCAUUUGCAAAGUGGGGAAUUGAUGUGAUCGAUCCUGGUAACCCAAAAGCUAGCAAUGGGCAUAAAUUCAUCCUUGUGGCUAUUGACUACUUCACCAAAUGGGUGGAAGCUAAUUCGUAUGCCCACGUAACACAGAAGGUAGUGAAAAGGUUUGUAGAAAAGGACUUGAUUUGUCGAUAUGGUCCUCCGGAAAAGAUAGUGACCGAUAAUUGUUGCACGUCAAAAAAAUCCGCGCGGCGUCGGCUGGUGAUUUUAUCUUUGUUGCGUUUUGCUAGAAUUGGUUCGUUGGAGUCGCCACCUAGUAAUUUAUUGAAGGCUACUAGGAAACCCGGGUACUGGCCUUAUCAGAGAUUCGCGGGUAAGAGACUGGUUGUGGUUAGGGAAGGUAUUAGCACCCCUAACGCACCCUACCUCAGGUAAGCUGCUUCGUGAACUUGAUGUGCUAAAGAAGUUUUAAAAAUUCUGUUCUUUCAUCGAAUUUAGAAAUAAGACUUACAUGUAAGUUCAUAAUUCUUUAUCCGUGAGCAAAUCAAAAUAUUAAAUUCUUCUUUAAUCUUUGCAAUUUUAUCGUAAAAUAAAAAAAACAUCCACAACAAAAAAAUACAAACAACACAUACACCUUCACUGUAUUUUUUUCUUUUCUUUUUCUUUACUGUAUUUUUUCUUUUCUCUUUCUUUUCUUUUUUUGCUUCCAUGUUUACAAAUUACAAAUUACAAAAAAAACUCAAAACUAAACGAAUAUUACAUUAAACAAAAAUUACAUUAAACAAUUCUAAAAUUACAAAACAGCCAUUCAAAAAUCCAUAACAGUGCCGGGACCAGUUCUGUGAAGCCAAAGGACAGCAGGAACAGUGGCGGCGCGUCUUCCCACGCGCCGCCGUCAUUGGCGGCGCGUGGACCCACGCGCCACCGCUAAAGAGACCAGCAAAGGGGAAGAUCUGAAAUGGCUUCCUCCCCUCUUCACUUUCCUCGCCGGCGGCGACAACGCCGUUACCUGCAAAACACCCAAAACGCAACAAGCAAGUCUGUUUUAGUCUUGUUUUCAGAUCGGCUUCCCUUCCUUUCCCCUUUUCAAAUCUGGUUCGUUCGGAUUAUUUGGAUUUGCUUCACUGCAGAUCGGUCUCCUUCGGUCAUCCUCUUCUUCUCCUCUGCUCCAUGUGCUGGAGCGGCAAGGAGGAACAGACGAGAGAGUGGUGUUGCUGCUAGAGGCGGCGAGCUGGCCGCUGGUUCAGGAGGAGAGAGUUGAGGAAACCGAAACAGCUUCUGGUGUUCGUUUGUCGCGGUGGAGGAGAAGAGGCUGGAUCUGCAGGCGCCACCGGAGGAAGAAGGCGGACUGCUCCGCGCCUGUGGGCGAUGCUGCUGCUGC